AUUGAACGCUGGCGGCAGGCCUAACACAUGCAAGUCGAGCGAGCGGCGGACGGGUGAGUAAUGUAUGGGGACUUCCCGCUUGAGGGGGAUAACUACUUGAAACGGUUGCUAAUACCCCAUACUGUCGGAUAACCCAUAUGGGAUUAGCGAGUAGGUAAGGUAAUGGCUUACCUAGGCGACGAUCCCUAGCUGUUCUGAGAGGAGGAUCAGCCACACGGGGACGGAGACACGGCCCAGACUCCUCCGGAGGAAGCAGUGGGGAAUAUUGGAAAAUGGGCGAAAGCCUGAUGCAGACAUGCCGCGGGUAUGAAGAAGGCCCUAGGGUUGUAAAGUACUUUCAGUCGGGAGGCGUUACCGAAAGAAGAAGCACCGGCUAACUACGUGCCAGCAGCCGCGGUAAUAC
rnacentral:rRNA from 1 species